GAUCCUGGCUCAGGAUGAACGCUAGCGAUAGGCUUAACACAUGCAAGUCGAGGGGCAGCAUGGUCUUAGCUUGCUAAGACUGAUGGCGACCGGCGCACGGGUGCGUAACGCGUAUGCAACUUGCCUCACAGAGGGGGAUAACCCGUCGAAAGACGGACUAAUACCGCGUACACUCCACCUUGGGCAUCCAAGGAGGAGGAAAUGAAUUUCGCUGUGAGAUAGGCAUGCGU
rnacentral:rRNA from 1 species